AACUUCUUUAUUGUAUUAUUAAUAUUUUCACAUGUAAAUGAUAAAUUUAGUAAAGUUUCCAUUAUAUGAUUUCGUUCUCCUCGUAGAGUUUGUUUAUUACCUAAGUAUGAUAGAUGUACCCGAGAAUCUUUUAUUUAGCUUCGUGCUACAUGUAUUUUAUUAUCUACCGUUAAUUUGUCACGAUAGAAUAUAGAACAAGAUAUUUGCUUAGCUAUUUGAUUAUUGAUACAGAUAAUUUAUAUUUCAUAAAUGGCGGCAUAUUAGACAAAAUAAGGAAAAGUGUUAAAGUGGAUAUUUAUUAGUUCACUUAUAUUAUACAUUGUAAUGAUAGAGGUAUAACUAUAAAUGAACUUGAGUUAUUUUGUCAUAUUGUAUAUUUUAAUAUUUUACUAGUCCGAAUGUUUAUGAUUGCAUUUUGGUUUUAGGACUCCAUUGAUGUAAUUAUAUACAGAGUAUACAUUGUGAACUGUGCCUAUUCCUUGCCAGUAAAAACUCACUCCACAAGUGAGUUUAUUUUUAUACUACUGGUAUAAUAAAUCAUCCGAACCCUAAACAGAGUUUGUUAUAUCUUUACCCAAGAACCGACCCUGUUACAAAAUGGCGCCCAACGUGGUUUAGUGGAUUGAUGGCACAGUCGAAUUAGGGUACCAGUGUGUGUGUGUGACCACCGAAGCAGACGACAGACGAGACCACGUGAUGUUUGUUUACCAACAAUGCGCAGAUGUCCGAAGAUGCACGUGCCAGUGUUUACAUCCGUUGAUGUCCACAUGUGUUUGUUUACAUUAACAUUUUAUACCGUGUUCCAGUUAUGAAGAUUUGUGAAACCGGAAGUUACUUUUAGUAACUUAGACUUUUUGAUUUUCUUAAUUGAAAAUAGAACAUUUGUUGUUUAAA